rnacentral:rRNA from 1 species
GCAAAUCCGCUUUGAUAAUGCUGGGAUGGGAUGGGGAGCGAAAUUUAGUGGCGAAGUAGCUGAUUGCACACUGUCAAGAAAAGACGCUAUCGAGGUUAAAGGUACCCGUACCGGAAACCGAGACAGGUGGGUGAGGAGAGUAUCCUAAGGCCAGCGAGAGAACUGUUGUUAAGGAACUCGGCAAAAUGACCGAGUAACUUAGGGAUAAGGGGUGCCACCAUCAGGUGGCCGCAGAGAAUAGGCCCAAGCGACUGUUUACCAAAAACAUAGGUUUCUGCUAAGUCGCAAGACGAUGUAUAGGAGCUGACGCCUGCCCGGUGCUGG